UACGGGGGGGCAAGCGUUGUUCGGAAUUACUGGGCGUAAAGGGCUCGUAGGUGGCCAACUAAGUCAGACGUGAAAUCCCUCGGCUUAACCGGGGAACUGCGUCUGAUACUGGAUGGCUUGAGUUUGGGAGAGGGACGCGGAAUUCCAGGUGUAGCGGUGAAAUGCGUAGAUAUCUGGAGGAACACCGGUGGCGAAGGCGGCGUCCUGGACCAACACGUGACACUGAGGAGCGAAAGCCAGGGGAGGCAAACGGG
rnacentral:rRNA from 1 species